UUGGAGUAAUUUGGAACGAGGUUGAGGGUUGGAGUGGAAUUGGAGUAAUAUGGAACGAGGUUGAGGGUUGGAGUAAUUUGGAACGAGGUUGAGGGUUGGAGUGGAAUUGGAGUAAUAUGGAACGAGGUUGAGGGUUGGAGUAAUUUGGAACAAGGUUGAGGGUUGGAGUCAUUUGGAACGAGGUUGAGGGUUGGAGUGGAAUUGGAGUAAUAUGGAACGAGGUUGAGGGUUGGAGUGGAGUUGGAGUAAUAUGAAACAAGGUUGGACAUUCCAUUUCAGUUGCUGAAUGCUUUCCUACAAUAUGGACUUUCAGGUCGCCUCCCGGUGCAGGUUAUGAGAAAGUUGUGAGUAAAAUAUGGUAAACUAUGAUGGUGACGGUACUCUGUCU